UAUAUGAAAAUAGUGGUGUUAGUACCUGUUAAAAUUAUAGGUCAUUUACUUUUAGUUUUUAGUCUGUUUUCAUUUUCCACGUUUUUCAAAAUGAGUGCAUAUUUUUUUGUAAUACUAAAAAGGAUUACCACAGGAAUUAAUAUGUAUUAAACAUAACAAAUAACUUUUGGAAAUAGACCUGAAAAUUUAAACUCUGCCCAUCACCAGCUGUAGAACUGGGUAAAUUAAAGUGAUCUAACCUCUCCAACCCAGCUGGUUUUCUCACUUGAUACACGUGGACAGUAAAUUUCUUCUUUGUUAGGACUGAAUGAUGCCACAUGUAGGAACUCAGUUCGGUUCAGUUCAGUCACUCUGUCGACCCCAUGGACUGCAGCACGCCAGGCCUCCCUGUCCAUCACCAAUUCCUGGAGUUUACCCUAACUCAUGUCCAUUGAGUCAGUGAUGCCAUCCAACCAUCUCAUCCUCCGUCGUCCCCUUCUCCUCCUGCCCUCCACCUUUCCCAGCAUCAGGGUCUUUUCAAAUGAGUCAGCCCUUCGCAUCAGGUGACCAAAGUAUUGGAGUUUCAGCUUCAGCAUCAGUCCUUCCAAUGAACACCCGGGACUGAUCUCCUUUAGGAUGGACCGGUUGGAUCUCCUUGCAGUCCAAGGAACUCUCAAGAGUCUUCUCCAACACCACAGUUCAAAAGCAUCAAUUCUUUGGCGCUCAGCAUUCUUUACAGUCCAACUCGCACAUCCAUACAUGACUAAUGGAAAAACCAUAGCCUUGACUAGACGGACCUUUGUUGGCAGAGUAAUGUCUCUGCUUUUUAAUAUGCUGUCUAGGUUGGUCAUAACUUUCCUUACAAGGAGUAAGCGUCUUUUAAUUCCAUGCAACUCAGGCACAUUCAAUGAGGAUUGUUUCUUUCGCCAGCGAACCGAGCUCUGAGUUCAACCCUUCAUCUAAGGCUGUGUUGCUAUAAUCCCGCCUCCCGCGGACGCUGCAGAGGGGCGGGCCAGGGGUCCAGGCGGGUUCGCGGCGGCUGCAGCUGCCGGGGCUGAACCGCCGCCUCGGUUCGCCUACGCACCUCCGCUUUUGGCGUGAAGCUUUUGCCCGCCGGCCUCGGAAGGAUAACCUGUAGUCGCUCUCCAGGCUCCGCGACCGCUCGGAGGCAGAGUCACAGAUGGAAGGAGACUAGAUCCUGCCCAAUCAAUAUCAGAAUGCCUCUGACUGCUAGGCAUAAAUUUCUUCUCAGACUUUCCAGAAAACCUCACCCUUGGACUAAGAUCAAGAAAAGAAAACUCCAGGCUUUUCUCCGGACUUUUCUUCCAAGCUCCUUGUUAAGCCCUCAGACCCCUGCCCGAAGGGAGGUGAUGGUUGCAAAAGCAAAGACUGGCGUUUGGAGAAGCUCUUUGGGAUGUCAAAGCUGCAUACUGCCCCUCCUGCUGCCUUCCAAUUACUAUGCAUGAAAGUGACUUUCAAAAAUCCAGAUCUGAUCGUGUUACACACAAACUCCCACAGGUCUACACCGCCUGGCUCCUGUGCAUGUCAUCUAGGCACGUGAAGAAGAGGCAAGGUAUGAAGAGGUCACUGUGGACAGUGCAUUUUCUCUCCCAGCCUUCAGGCA